AGAGUUUGAUCCUGGCUCAGGAUGAACGCUGGCGGUAUGCGUAACACAUGCAAGUCGAACGAAGUUUUUCGGAACUUAGUGGCGGACGGGUGAGUAACGCGUGAGAAUCUGCCUUAAGGAUUGGGACAACAGUGGGAAACCGCUGCUAAUACCAAAUAUGCCUUUUAGUGAAACGGGUAAAACCGCCUUAAGAUGAGCUCGCGUCUGAUUAGCUAGUUGGUGUGGUAAGAGCGCACCAAGGCAACGAUCAGUAGCUGGUCUGAGAGGACGACCAGCCACACUGGGACUGAGACACGGCCCAGACUCCUACGGGAGGCAGCAGUGAGGAAUUUUCCGCAAUGGGCGAAAGCCUGACGGAGCAAUACCGCGUGAGGGAGGAAGGUUCUUGGAUUGUAAACCUCUUUUCUCAGAGAAGAAUAAUGACGGUAUCUGAGGAAUAAGCAUCGGCUAACUCCGUGCCAGCAGCCGCGGUAAUACGGAGGAUGCAAGCGUUGUCCGGAAUGAUUGGGCGUAAAGGGUCUGUAGGUGGUUGUUCAAGUCUGCUGUUAAAGCGUCUGGCUUAACCAGAUAAAGGCGGUGGAAACUGAACGACUAGAGUGCGGUAGGGGUAGAGGGAAUUCCCAGUGUAGCGGUGAAAUGCGUAGAUAUUGGGAAGAACACCUGUGGCGAAAGCGCUCUACUGGACCGCGACUGACACUGAUGGACGAAAGCUAGGGGAGCGAAUGGGAUUAGAUACCCCGGUAGUCC
rnacentral:rRNA from 1 species